UUGGAGGGCAGUCUGGUGCAGCAGCGGGAAAUUCCAGCUCAUAGCGUAUAUUAAAGUUGUUGCAGUUAAAAAGCUCGUAGUUGAAUUUCGGGAUCAGUACGUUGGUCGUGCCUUAGGUACGUACUGGUGUUACUGGUUCCUACCUUCUGACGAACCAUCAUGUCAUUCAUUUGGUGUGGCGGGGAAUCAGGACUGUUACUUUGAAAAAAUUAGAGUGUUUAAAGCAGGCUCGCGCUUGAAUACAUUAGCAUGGAAUAAUGAAAUAGGACGUUGAUCCUAUUUUGUUGGUUUCUAGGAUUGACGUAAUGAUUAAUAGGGAUAGUUGGGGGCAUUAGUAUUCAAUUGUCAGAGGUGAAAUUCUUGGAUUUAUUGAAGACUAACUACUGCGAAAGCAUUUGCCAAGGAUGUUUUCAUUAAUCAAGAACGAAAGUUAGGGGAUCGAAGACGAUCAGAUACCGUCGUAGUCUUAACCAUAAACUAUGCCGACUAGGGAUCGGAUGAUGUUAAUUUUUUAAUGACUCAUUCGGCGCCUUACGGGAAAC
rnacentral:rRNA from 1 species